ACGGAAGGCAGCAGUGGGGAAUAUUGGACAAUGGAGGCAACUCUGAUCUAGCGACGCCGCGUGAGUGAAGAAGUAUUUCGGUAUGUAAAGCUCUAUCAGCAGGGAAGAUGAUGACGGUACCUGACUAAGAAGCCCCGGCUAACUACGUGCCAGCAGCCGCGGUAAUACGUAGGGGGCAAGCGUUAUCCGGAUUUACUGGGUGUAAAGGGAGCGUAGGCGGCCAGACAAGUCAGGUGUGAAAACCCGGGGCUUAACCCCGGGACUGCACUUGAAACUGCCUGGCUGGAGUGCAGGAGAGGCAAGUGGAAUUCCUAGUGUAGCGGUGAAAUGCGUAGAUAUUAGGAAGAACACCGGUGGCGAAGGCGACUUGCUGGACUGAGACUGACGCUGAGGCUCGAAAGCGUGGGGAGCAAACAGGAUUAGAUACCCUGGUA
rnacentral:rRNA from 1 species